rnacentral:rRNA from 1 species
UCCUACGGGAGGGAGCAGUGGGGAAUAUUGCACAAUGGGCGCAAGCCUGAUGCAGCCAUGCCGCGUGUAUGAAGAAGGCCUUACGGGUUGUAAAGUACUUUCAGCAGUGAGGAAGGUGGAUAUGUUAAUAGCAUAUUCAUUUGACGUUAGCUGCAGAAGAAGCACCGGCUAACUCCGUGCCAGCAGCCGCGGUAAUACGGAGGGUGCGAGCGUUAAUCGGAAUUACUGGGCGUAAAGCGCAUGCAGGUGGUUUGUUAAGUCAGAUGUGAAAGCCCCGGGGCUCAACCUCGGAAUUGCAUUUUGAAACUGGCAAACUAGAGUACUGUAGAGGGGGUAGAAUUUCAGGUGUAGCGGUGAAAUGCGUAGAGAUCUGAAGGAAUACCGGUGGCGAAGGCGGCCCCCCUGGACAGAUACUGACACUCAGAUGCGAAAGCGUGGGGAGCAAACAGGAUUAGAUACCCUGGUAG